rnacentral:rRNA from 1 species
UACGUAGGGCCCGAGCGUUAUCCGGAUUUACUGGGCGUAAAGCGUGCGUAGGUGCCUGGCUAAGUUUCUGGUGAAAUCCCUCAGCUUAACUGAGGAACUGUCAGAAAAACUAGCUGGGUUGAGUGUGACAGGGGCAGACGGAAUUGAUGGUGUAGCGGUAAAAUGCGUAGAUAUCAUCAAGAACACCGAUGGCGAAGGCAGUCUGCUGGGUCAUCACUGACACUGAGGCACGAAAGCGUGGGUAGCGAACGGG